AGUCAGGUGGCGAGCAAGGAGAGGGCCGAACGUUUUAGUGGAGGCGGUAUUUAAGGUGAGUUUUUAAACCUGACGCCUUUCCUCAUGCAAACUUUCUUCUUCCUCAAACUUUAACUUUCAUAAAAACUCAAAUUCUCCUCAUUCUCUCUAAACUUUCCAACCUUCUCUCUCUAGAUUCCUGACCAUCAUAUCUUCUCCGAUCACUUACAUCCUUUCAGAAUUCUUACUCCCGGCAUCAAGACCUUCAGAUUUCACCAAUCAAAAUCUUAUUCUGAACCGGUAAGUGUUCCGGAUCCUUGAAGUUCCUU
rnacentral:lncRNA from 1 species